UGUGUAGGCGGUGCUCUAAGUUCGGUGUGAAAUCUCCCGGCUUAACUGGGAGGGUGCGCCGGAAACUGGAGUGCUCGAGCGUGGGAGAGGAAAGCGGAAUUCCUGGUGUAGCGGUGAAAUGCGUAGAUAUCAGGAGGAACACCUGCGGUGUAGACGGCUUUCUGGACCAUAACUGACGCUGAGAUACGAAAGCGUGGGUAGCAAACA
rnacentral:rRNA from 1 species